rnacentral:rRNA from 1 species
UACGAAGGGGGCUAGCGUUGCUCGGAAUCACUGGGCGUAAAGCGCACGUAGGCGGGUCUUUAAGUCAGGGGUGAAAUCCUGGAGCUCAACUCCAGAACUGCCUUUGAUACUGGCGAUCUCGAGUCCGGGAGAGGUGAGUGGAACUGCGAGUGUAGAGGUGAAAUUCGUAGAUAUUCGCAAGAACACCAGUGGCGAAGGCGGCUCACUGGCCCGGUACUGACGCUGAGGUGCGAAAGCGUGGGGAGCAAACAGG